rnacentral:rRNA from 1 species
GAUGAACGCUGGCGGCGUGCCUAAUACAUGCAAGUCGAGCGAACAGAUAAGGAGCUUGCUCCUUUGACGUUAGCGGCGGACGGGUGAGUAACACGUGGGUAACCUACCUAUAAGACUGGGAUAACUUCGGGAAACCGGAGCUAAUACCGGAUAACAUUUGGAACCGCAUGGUUCUAAAGUGAAAGAUGGUUUUGCUAUCACUUAUAGAUGGACCCGCGCCGUAUUAGCUAGUUGGUAAGGUAACGGCUUACCAAGGCAACGAUACGUAGCCGACCUGAGAGGGUGAUCGGCCACACUGGAACUGAGACACGGUCCAGACUCCUACGGGAGGCAGCAGUAGGCAAUCUUCCGCAAUGUGCGCAAGCCUGACGGAGCAACGCCGCGUGAGUGAUGAAGGGUUUCGGCUCGUAAAACUCUGUUAUUAGGGAAGAACAAACGUGUAAGUAACUGUGCACGUCUUGACGGUACCUAAUCAGAAAGCCACGGCUAACUACGUG